ACUCCGGGGCUCUGGGCGGAAGGUUCUACUCCCUCCCGGCCCCUGCUCUGUGCCCCCGGCGCCCAGCCUCCCGCGCCCGAGGAAGAAGGCGCUGCGGUCCCAGCAGGCGAAAGGAUCGAAAAGGAAGAAUGCUCGCGAACUGCGGUCCCACCUCCAGACCCCUAGUAUGGGAUUCUAGGCUGCACUCUCCACACCCUCGUGGGGCUCCUUUGAGAUACUUGGCUUCUCUGAGGCCCUAGACCGCUCAUACCUCCAUCCUGGUCUCCAGGGGCGCCCGCGCUGAGCCCAGCAGCGUCCCGCAGGGCCUGGGCAGCAGGGAGGACAGAGUCCCCGGACCGCUCCUCCGGCUGGACUCUUCUCAAGACUGCGGCUGGGGGGGAGGAGGCGGCCGACCCCCUUGCGGAGACAGACACACCCUGAAGCUGAAUGACCCGGGUCCCCAACUUCCACUCGGCACCAGCUAGAACUCUUCCCUUUCAGAUCGAGGGUGCUCCACCGUCUUCCUCGGCCCUUCUUUUAACUCUCUUCCCCUGGGGGUUCCCGGAACCCUUGCCCUCAAGCCUCCCAGGCCCUGGGGAUCUUGGAAAACUUCCCAACCUCUCUGUUCAGGUGACCCUCCGCUUGCCCCCAUUCCAGGAGGAGCUCACUUAGGGGAGAGUCAGUUCUCUUCUCGCCAUUCCCAGCUCCUCCUCAGGCUGGACUUAACCUGGCAAGUGCUUUGGGAGGACACCUCCUCCCCUCUGUCUGUGGUCCAGUCCAAUUGGUCCAAGGAUCCCCUACUACCCACCUACCCACAAGUUACUCAGCUUCAACAAUUCAAAGGAGAUAAAGAGGUUGUGUGUGUGUUUUUGAAAUGUG